GUGUCAGCCGCCGCGGUAAGACAGAGGGUGCAAACGUUGCUCGGAAUUACUGGGCGUAAAGCGCGUGUAGGCGGGCCAUCAAGUCGGACGUGAAAUCCCUGAGCUCAACUCAGGAACUGCAUCCGAAACUGGUGGCCUGGAGUGGUGGAGAGGGAAGCAGAAUUCCUGGUGUAGAGGUGAAAUUCGUAGAUAUCAGGAGGAACACCGGUGGCGAAGGCGGCUUCCUGGACACUUACUGACGCUGAGACGCGAAAGCGUGGGGAGCAAACAGGAUUAGAUACCCUGGUAGUCC
rnacentral:rRNA from 1 species